UACGUAGGGUGCGAGCGUUGUCCGGAAUUAUUGGGCGUAAAGAGCUUGUAGGCGGUUUGUCGCGUCUGCUGUGAAAAUCCGGGGCUCAACCCCGGACUUGCAGUGGGUACGGGCAGACUAGAGUGUGGUAGGGGAGACUGGAAUUCCUGGUGUAGCGGUGAAAUGCGCAGAUAUCAGGAGGAACACCGGUGGCGAAGGCGGCAUCCUGGACCGACACUGACGCUGAGGAGCGAAAGCGUGGGGAGCGAACAGG
rnacentral:rRNA from 1 species